rnacentral:rRNA from 1 species
CCUACGGGAGGCAGCAGUGGGGAAUUUUCCGCAAUGGGCGAAAGCCUGACGGAGCAAUACCGCGUGAGGGAAGAAUGCCUACGGGUUGUAAACCUCUUUUAUCAGGGAGGAACAAAAUGACGUGUACCUGAUGAAUAAGCAUCGGCUAACUCUGUGCCAGCAGCCGCGGUAAGACAGAGGAUGCAAGUGUUAUCCGGAAUUACUGGGCGUAAAGCGUCUGUAGGUUGUUGAACAAGUCAACUGUUAAAUCUUGAAGCUCAACUUCAAAAUCGCAGUCGAAACUGUUUGACUAGAGUAUAGUAGAGGUAAAGGGAAUUUCCAGUGGAGCGGUGAAAUGCGUAGAUAUUGGAAAGAACACCGAUGGCGAAAGCACUUUACUGGGCUAUUACUGACACUCAGAGACGACAGCUAGGGCAGCAAAUGGGAUUAGAUACCCCAGUAGUCCUAGCCGUAAACUAUGGAUACUAGAUGUUGAACAGAUCGACCUGUGCAGUAUUAAAGCUAACGCGUUAAGUAUCCCGCCUGGGAGUAUGCUGCAAGNGUGAAACGUUAAGAUGACGNUGNGNGNGCGAGNGACGACGAGGAGAG